rnacentral:lncRNA from 1 species
CCUUCAGCUCCUCCUCCAACUCUGCCGCCUUCCGCUCCAGCGCCCGGCGCUCAAAGCGCUCCAGCUCCAGCAGCGCCGGCCGCUCCGCGAUGCGCUCCUGCCUCUGGGUCACCCUCUCCAGCUCCAACCGCAGCUGCGUCACCUUCAGCUCCGCCUCCUGCAGCUGCUCCUUCAGCCGCUCGUUGUCCUCCCAGAGGGCGUCAUAGAGCUGCUGGUAGUCGAUCGCUGGCGGCUGCGCUGGGGGGGGGCGCGGGGCAGCCAAAAUCCCGUUGCUUUUGGGGCUCUCCUCACUGCUCCCCUGCUCCUCGUUUUCUUCCCCCUCAGACCCCAUCUGUCCUUUCCGUCGCUGUCGGCUCUGCAGUUUGGGUUCUGCUUCUUUGUUCAGCUGCAGGAUGGGGGUGAGGGGGGGGUGGGGGCGGCGGGAGGGGUCCGUGCUCUCGGGGGGCUGCUCGUCCCGCCUCUCCCCCUCUCUGAUUGGCUGCUCCUCUCCGAUGUGACCAAUCGCCUUCUCCGCUUCCUUCAGCUCAGUCAGAGUGACGCCCUGCGUUGACCUCCUGGACUGCCGCAUCAUUCGGGAUCGUGCUUUGCGCUGCGACUCCGACUCCUCGUCCCGCACGGGGGGUUGGUAUGUCCUGCGGGGCCGGGGCUCUGCAUCCACCUUCACCGGGGGGGCUCCAUCGAUGGGGUUUGAUGGGACGGCGUCAGAGGGAGUCCG